ACCAACAGGGAUUGCCCUAGUAACGGCGAGUGAAGCGGCAACAGCUCAAAUUUGAAAUCUGGCUCUUUUAGAGUCCGAGUUGUAAUUUGCAGAGGGCGCUUUGGCUUUGGCAGCGGUCCAAGUUCCUUGGAACAGGACGUCACAGAGGGUGAGAAUCCCGUACGUGGUCGCUAGCUAUUGCCGUGUAAAGCCCCUUCGACGAGUCGAGUUGUUUGGGAAUGCAGCUCUAAAUGGGAGGUAAAUUUCUUCUAAAGCUAAAUAUUGGCCAGAGACCGAUAGCGCACAAGUAGAGUGAUCGAAAGAUGAAAAGCACUUUGGAAAGAGAGUCAAACAGCACGUGAAAUUGUUGAAAGGGAAGCGCUUGCAGCCAGACUUGCUUGCAGUUGCUCAUCCGGGCUUUUGCCCGGUGCACUCUUCUGCAGGCAGGCCAGCAUCAGUUUGGGCGGUGGGAUAAAGGUCUCUGACACGUUCCUUCCUUCGGGUUGGCCAUAUAGGGGAGACGUCAUACCACCAGCCUGGACUGAGGUCCGCGCAUCUGCUAGGAUGCUGGCGUAAUGGCUGUAAGCGGCCCGUCUUGAAACACGGACCAAGGAGUCUAACAUCUAUGCGAGUGUUUGGGUGUCAAGCCCGAGCGCGUAAUGAAAGUGAACGGAGGUGGGAACCCGCAAGGGCGCACCAUCGACCGAUCCUGAAGUUUACGGAAGGAUUUGAGUAAGAGCAUGGCUGUUGGGACCCGAAAGAUGGUGAACUAUGCUUGAAUAGGGUGAAGCCAGAGGAAACUCUGGUGGAGGCUCGCAGCGGUUCUGACGUGCAAAUCGAUCGUCAAAUUUGGGCAUAGGGGCGAAAGACUAAUCGAACU
rnacentral:rRNA from 1 species